rnacentral:lncRNA from 1 species
UCGUAGAGCAUUACGAUUGCACUUAACACAUGCAACAAGCCUUUAAACCCCUAGGUUACCCUAGUGGACGAGUGUUGUCUCGUGAGGGUUUGCAGUGAAGUUACCCACAAACUUCAAUCCCAAAAUAAAAUUUAUUUUAUGAAAUGAAAGUCUACUUUCAAGUACAUAACUGAUAAGAAUUUCAAAAGCACACAAGGUUUUAAUUACUAAGUAGCCCAAAUUCUAGGUUAGUAUGCAAUUUAAGUUGAAGUCAUUAAGUUUUCCGUUAGGGAGUUGUAAAACUUAUUUAUACUUGAGUGCUCAGUGAAGUUUGGACCAUGCACAAGCUAAGGUUUUGGAUCU